GGCUGGUCCAAAGGUAAUGAAUUAUCUCAAUUGUUCAUAGUUAGUUACAGGUGGAACUCCUUGUUCUGCUCUUUUGCCUGACUACUGCACUUGACUAAUCUUUA
ensembl:misc_RNA Y_RNA Y RNA